rnacentral:rRNA from 1 species
UGCGUAGGCGGUUCAUUAAGUCAGUGGUGAAAUACGGCAGCUCAACUGUCGAGGUGCCAUUGAUACUGGUGAACUUGAGUACUGAUGAGGUAGGCGGAAUGGACGGUGUAGCGGUGAAAUGCUUAGAGAUCGUCCAGAACACCGAUAGCGAAGGCAGCUUACUAAGGAGUAACUGACGCUGAGGCACGAAAGUGUGGGGAUCAAACAGGAUUAGAUACCCUGGUAGUCCACACUGUAAACGAUGAUUACUCGAUGUUGGCGAUACACAGCCAGCGUCUUAGCAAAAGCGAUAAGUAAUCCACCUGGGGAGUACGCCGGCAACGGUGAA